UGGGGAAUUGUUCACAAUGGGCGCAAGCCUGAUGACGCAACGCCGCGUGGGGGAUGAAGGUCUUCGGAUUGUAAACCCCUGUCGAAUGGGACGAAUAACCUCUGGGCUAAUCACCAGAGGAAUGACGGUACCGUUAAAGGAAGCCACGGCUAACUCUGUGCCAGCAGCCGCGGUAAUACAGAGGUGGCAAGCGUUGUUCGGAAUUACUGGGCGUAAAGGGCGUGUAGGCGGUCUUCUAAGUCAGACGUGAAAUCCCCCGGCUUAACCUGGGAACUGCGUCUGAUACUGGGAGGCUUGAGUAUGGGAGAGGGAUGCAGAAUUCCAGGUGUAGCGGUGAAAUGCGUAGAUAUCUGGAGGAAUACCGGUGGCGAAGGCGGCAUCCUGGACCAUGACUGACGCUUAAGCGCGAAAGCUAGGGGAGCAAACGG
rnacentral:rRNA from 1 species